UUCCUGUAAAUGGGUCUGGGAGGGGCAGGCUGAGCACUUCCUGGUUCUCGUGUUUACUCGUAGCAGGAAGAGAAGCUCAGGCUCUAUUUAGUCUCUGAAGAACAAAAAGAAGAAACUGUGUCAGAAUUAAAGGCUGACUGAAGUCCAGGAGAUGGAGAAUAGUCAUCUAAAGGAGAACAGAGCAGAACCUCCAGGAUCCAGCAGUCCGUCUAUGAGGAGUAACUGGUCCAAAGGCAGAACUCCAGACUUUAGUGAAGUACCUGGACCCUCAGACUCAGAAGGUCAGAACCACAGACAGAGAGCAGAACGUCCAGGAUCCAGCUGUCCGUCUAUCAGGAGUGACUGGUCCAAAGGAAACAAUCCCCACUUCAGUGAAGAACCUGGACCCUCAGACUCAGAACCAGGACCUGGACUGCUGGCAGCCAAUCAGAGCAGCUGU